GACGAACGCUGGCGGCGUGCUUAACACAUGCAAGUCGAACGGAAAGGCCCUGCUUUUGUGGGGUGCUCGAGUGGCGAACGGGUGAGUAACACGUGAGUAACCUGCCCUUGUCUUUGGGAUAACUUCAGGAAACUGGGGCUAAUACCGGAUAGGAGCUUCUGCUGCACGGUGGGGGUUGGAAAGUUUCGGCGGUUGGGGAUGGAAUCGCGGCUUAUCAGCUUGUUGGUGGGGUAGUGGCUUACCAAGGCUUUGACGGAUAGCCGGCCUGGGAGCGUGGCCGGCCACAUGGGGACUGAGGUAGGGCGCAGAAGGCUACGGGAGGCAGAAGUGGGGAAUAUGGCACAAUGGGCCGAAGCCUGAUGCAGCAAUGCCGCGUGCGGGAUGACGGCUUUCGGGUUGUAAACCGCUUUCGCCUGUAACGAACCGUGAGUGACGGUAAUGGGUAAAGAAGCACCGGCUAACUACGUG
rnacentral:rRNA from 1 species